rnacentral:lncRNA from 1 species
GCUGCAGUCCAUGGGGUCACAAAGAGUCGGACACGACUGAGCCACUGAACGGUACUGAAACAAUUCAGAAGUGAUAGGUGUGGCUCUAAAUAAGCCUUUUAUUAUGGAUGCUGAGAGUUCAGUCUCACAUAAUCUUUACAUGUCAUAAAAUAGUAUUCUUUUUAUUUUCUUCUGCCAUUUAAAACUGUAAAAAUCACUCUUACCUUGAUGUUUGUUCAAAAAUAAUCACCAGGAAAAUUUAUUGAUUUCUGCCAUUAAGGGAAGCCUCUGUGUGACUGACAUUAAUGUUUCUCUAAAGCCUAUGAAUUUUACUGUUUAACAGACUUAGAAGUUGUGUAUUUUAUCUCUUUAUUAGACAAGACUAUUUAGCUCGAAUUGAAGCAGACUGUCUUGAAUCCCUUAAAUUUUAUUUCUAAAACUACCUUAUAUUCAUGUCUAGUUAAGUGAUUUUUCCACUUAGAGCACGAUUGUUAAAAUCACUUCUGGAAAACUGAUCAGUAGAAAAGACUCUGGGUGAUCCAUGGAUUCGCAGUGAUCAUGGGACAUGUGUGGAAGGGAACCCAACUCAUCAUACACGUGCUUUAUUGCCCUGAGUGACUUGGCAGUUCCCAACCAGACCAUCAUAUCUGUCUCUCCAUCAGGCUUUGCCACACUGUUCCAUGUGUUAGAACAUUAUUGCCCAGAACCUUCAAGAAGCAAUCCCUUAAUUUCUAGGAUGUAUCCAGCAUCUUUCCUACCCACUUACCUGGCCCCUGACCUUAAUGCCAUUGUGCUUUAUACACUGCACUUCCUAUUCACUGUCUGCCUGACCCCUAACAUUGCUUGGAAAUGUGUAGUGGGAAAAACAGGAAAGGGCUCCCUUAAGUAUUUUCUAUAGGAAUUAAUGAAGUACUUUUAAAAUGUAAACUCCCUGAAAUUAAAAAUUGAUUCUAUUGUUAGCUAAUUAUAAAAGUCAGACUAUGUUUGGCUCAGUUCAGUUCAGUCAUUCAGUCGUGUCCGACUCUUUGCGACCCCAU